rnacentral:lncRNA from 1 species
GUUUUGCCUUCCACUGUACAUUAAUAACAAAUAUAUACAGACUUCUGUUCAAAUCAAAUACUCAGGACUCUACCUAGACAGCAGACUGACGUGGAAUCCCCACACAAGACUUAAGAGUCAAAAACUAACUAAGACUAGGAUAACUAUGAAGACGGCUGAAAUCCAAGUUGUUCGUCAAUUCUAAACUAACCCUAGACAAGACUUUACUGCAGCUACUUUGGACAAAAGGAGUGGUACUGUGAGGUUCUGCUAAGCCUUCCAACAUCCAGCACAUCCAAUCCUUGCAAUCAAAAGUCCUCAGCAUCAAAAUUCAUCCAAGCUCCUUACUACGUCACUAACCUCACUAUCUACAAUAACCUCAACAUAACUUUUAUGAACGAACUGAUCCAUUCUCGAUUCCAUGUGCUUCACGCCAACUUCUCGAUCUAGUCGAGCCCUCUCUAUACAUUCCACUCCCGAGAACCCGUCACUUUGCGUCAAUAACGAUGGCCUCAAGACCACCUUGCCCGUUAAUCCCUCACACUAAGUGCUAGCUUUGGCUGGUUUCUCAUAGCACGUGUCCUUUGGUGCAGCGCUUGCAUUAGUGUUAGUGCUGUGAUCGUGUAAAAAAAGAGUUCAGAAGCAGUCGGGCACGAUGGAAGAAACCGUGUGCGGUAGACAGUAGAAAUGAGACGAUCAGUGUGUGUUCGAGACUGUCGCUGGCUUCUUUGCUCUAGUAAUCCAGUAUUAAAUAGUUAAAUUAAUGAUUACACUAUCGAUAAGUUAUUAUUGCAAUUGUCGAAGUGUAGUAUCAAGGUAGAUGAGUGAACCAUGAUCGAUUCUUAUGAGGAUGAUGGAAGGUAAGCCCUAAUAAUGUUAACGUCCAAGUAGGUUGGAUCUUUAGUAGCAUAUACCCACUAUAGUUGGUCAUGACUUUAUUUGUGAUUUUAAUAUGUUUUGCUAAAUUUAAAUAAAUAAUAAUUUAUUUAACCACGCUCCCGCUUUGAUUCGUCUUCCCAAUAUGGCGUCCUGUAUUCAACAUGUAUAGACUACAAAUAAAAAAAACCUUUUGUUUAUUUAUGUGUAUGGGGUGAACUAGAAAUUGGCUAUUUCCGUCAGAUUUUUCAGUUAAGAUUUAAUAUUUUUUAUUUUUAUAUCACAACAUUGUUCAAUUAAAAACAAUAAUCUAUGUAUAUUAUAAAACCAAAUAAAUUAAUUGUGUUGUGUACAGUAUUAUAUCUAUGUGGCUUCUUUUAUUAUUCAGUGCAGCCUUAUAAAACAAAUUUACAAAAAAUGUAAAAACAAAAGACAAAAAUUCAAACGAUAAACCUAUUAAAAUUAUGCUUAACCUAUUUAAAACUAUUAACUUAAACUAAAUUUAUUGAUAGGCGUUUCAAUAGAACUAAGAAUGUUAUGUACAAUUGAUAUUUAUGUGUUCUUGUCAUUGUAAACAAAUAACAGUCAUAACAUUUUAGUCUGUAGCUUAUCUCCAAUAUAUAUAUAAAUAGAUGUUUACCACAAGAAGAACACAAUUCGAUGAAUAAGUUGAGCAUGAAUACGUUGAACUAGGUUACAUAUGUAUGAGCUAAGUAGUGUGUUGAACAUUUUGUACUUUAUAUAUAUCAAGGUACUCUGCUCGAUUGGAUGUUUUAAAAUUAUAUUUGGAGUCAAGCCUGUUUCUUCGACGUUCUAAAAAUAUUUACAAAUUGUCCAUAAGUUUAUCAAUAUGCCACUGUUCUAUGUACAGCGUUGUUAAGGGGAUUCUGGUUCUACCUGGCGUUGUGAUCUUUUUCAUCACCUGGAGGAUAUG